GGAUUAGAUACCCUGGUAGUCCACGCCGUAAACGAUGAUCACUAGGUGUUGGGGGUCGAACCUCAGCGCCCAAGCUAACGCGAUAAGUGAUCCGCCUGGGGAGUACGCACGCAAGUGUGAAACUCAAAGGAAUUGACGGGGACCCGCACAAGCGGUGGAGCAUGUGGUUUAAUUCGACGCAACGCGAGAAACCUUACCAGCGUUUGACAUCCUAAGAAGUUUCCAGAGAUGGAUUCGUGCCUGCUUGCAGGAACUUAGUGACAGGUGGUGCAUGGCUGUCGUCAGCUCGUGCUG
rnacentral:rRNA from 1 species